AUUGAACGCUGGCGGCAGGCCUAACACAUGCAAGUCGAGCGGAUGAAGGGAGCUUGCUCCUGGAUUCAGCGGCGGACGGGUGAGUAAUGCCUAGGAAUCUGCCUCGUAGUGGGGGAUAACGUCCGGAAACGGGCGCUAAUACUGCAUACGUCCUGAGGGAGAAAGUGGGGGAUCUUCGGACCUCACGCUAUCAGAUGAGCCUAGGUCGGGUUAGUUAGUUGGUGGGGUAAGGGCCUCCAAGCCGACGAUCCGUAACUGGUCUGAGAGGAUGAUCAGUCACACUGGAACUGAGACAGGGUCCAGACUCCUACGGGAGGCAGCAGUGGGGAAUAUUGGACAAUGGGCGAAAGCCUUGUCCAGUCAUGCCGCGUGUGUGAAGAAGGUCUUCGGAUUGUAAAGCACUUUAAGUUGGGAGGAAGGGCAGUAAGUUAAUACGUUGCUGUUUUGACGUUACCAACAGAAUAAGCACCGGCUAACUUCGUG
rnacentral:rRNA from 1 species